rnacentral:rRNA from 1 species
AUUGAACGCUGGCGGCAUGCCUUACACAUGCAAGUCGAACGGUAACGCGGGGCAACCUGGCGACGAGUGGCGAACGGGUGAGUAAUGCAUCGGAACGUGCCUGGUAGUGGGGGAUAACUGCUCGAAAGAGCAGCUAAUACCGCAUACGACCUGAGGGUGAAAGGGGGGGAUCGCAAGACCCCUCGCUAUCAGAGCGGCCGGUGUCGGAUUAGCUAGUUGGUGGGGUAAAGGCCCACCAAGGCGACGAUCCGUAGCUGGUCUGAGAGGACGACCAGCCACACUGGGACUGAGACACGGCCCAGACUCCUACGGGAGGCAGCAGUGGGGAAUUUUGGACAAUGGACACAAGUCUGAUCUAGCUAUGCCGCGUGCGGGAAGAAGGCCUUCGGGUUGUAAACCGCUUUUGUCAGGGAAGAAAUCUUCUGGGCUAAUACCCUGGGAGGAUGACGGUACCUGAAGAAUAAGCACCGGCUAACUACGUGCCAGCAGCCGCCGUAAGAC